rnacentral:lncRNA from 1 species
AAUUAAACAAACACAGGAUGACAGAGUAUUCCCGAAGGUAUUUGAGGUUUAAUGAACUUGUGAGUUGUUAUUACAAACUAAUUAGCAUGUGUGUGUCCAUGUAUAAAGUGAUUUUUUUGUAAAAAACGUUAAACUGGUCAGCUACCCCCAUCGCCGAUAAUGACAAGAAAGGAACUUUCCCUCAGAUCAAUUAAAUGCACCUUACUCAAAUAAUUACGGCCACAAAAUCAAAACUACCAUUCUGUAGCUAAACUGUUUAAUUAAAUAAUAGUUUUAAAGCCUUUCACCGGAUUAAAAAGUCGUGCAACACAACAAGGUCAAUGGAUUUCAAUUGCUGGAUUCCCUUUAGAGGCCCUAUAUAUUUGAUUCGAAUGCUCCCGAUGACUUCCGUUAGCUAUUUAGCAACGAUAAAGUCCGAGAAUAAACUGGACCCCUGCUGUUGUUUCACUGUUAUCGUGUGCCGAAGUAUCAAUCAGCGGGUGACCAGUUUAGUCGGGUAACUUGUGUGUUGAAUGACGUUCCCGAUUCGACUACGGAAUCGUCAUUUGACAGUGACUUUGAAUCUGAAUUGGUCAGUGAAUUAACGGAUGAGAAAAUAAUCAUAAAAAGCAAAAUCGCUCCACGUAGGACAUCUCCCAACGACGAGCGUGAUUGAAGAAGUGGCGUUUGAUUUAUAAACAAAAAUGUAGCAAAACGUCUAUCUUCAUCUUCUUUUAUUUUUACAUUUACAUCUAAAUCAACCCAAAAAUAAACUGUUGUCUGUUGUGUCACCUAUUAUCCCUUGUCAG